rnacentral:rRNA from 1 species
AACGAACGCUGGCGGCAGGCCUAACACAUGCAAGUCGAGCGCACCUUCGGGUGAGCGGCGGACGGGUUAGUAACGCGUGGGAAUAUGCCCUUCACUACGGAAUAGCCAUUGGAAACGAUGAGUAAUACCGUAUACGCCCUUCGGGGGAAAGAUUUAUCGGUGAAGGAUUAGCCCGCGUCUGAUUAGAUAGUUGGUGGGGUAAUGGCCUACCAAGUCUACGAUCAGUAGCUGGUUUGAGAGGAUGAUCAGCAACACUGGGACUGAGACACGGCCCAGACUCCUACGGGAGGCAGCAGUGGGGAAUCUUAGACAAUGGGCGCAAGCCUGAUCUAGCCAUGCCGCGUGAGUGACGAAGGCCUUAGGGUCGUAAAGCUCUUUCGCCAGGGAUGAUAAUGACAGUAC